rnacentral:rRNA from 1 species
ACUGCUCAGUAACACGUGGCUAACCUGCCCUUGGGACGGGGACACCCCCGGGAAACUGGGGUUAAUCCCCGAUAGGUGAAGAACUCUGGAAUGAGUCUUCGCCCAAAAGCCGUUUACGCUAUGCUCGUAGGUGUCGCCCAAGGAUGGGGCCGCGGCCGAUCAGGUUGUUGGUGAGGUAAUGGCUCACCAAGCCUUUUACCGGUGCGGGCCGUGGGAGCGGGAGCCCGGAGAUGGGCACUGAGACAAGGGCCCAGGCCCUACGGGGCGCAGCAGUCGCGAAAACUUUGCAAUACACGAAAGUGUGACAGGGCUAUCCCGAGUGCCAUCCGCUGAGGAAGGCUUUUACCCAGUGUAGAUAGCUGGGGGAAUAAGGAGAGGGCAAGACUGGUGUCAGCCGCCGCGGUAAUACCAGCUCUCCGAGUGGUGUGGAUGUUUAUUGGGCCUAAAGCAUCCGUAGCUGGCCAAGUUAGUCCCCUGUUAAAUCCACCGAUUCAAUCGUUGGUGUGCGGGGGAUACUGCUCGGCUAGGGGACGGGAGAGGCCGACGGUAUUUUCGGGGUAGGGGUGAAAUCCUAUAAUCCCGGGAAGACCACCAGUGGCGAAGGCUGUCGGCUAGAACGCGCCCGACGGUGAGGGAUGAAAGCUGGGGGAGCGAACCGGAUUAGAUACCCGGGUAGUCCCAGCUGUAAACGAUGCAGGCUAGGUGUUUGGGCGGCCACGUGCCGCUCUAGUGCCGCAGGGAAGUCGUUAAGCCUGCCGCCUGGGGAGUACGAUCGCAAGAUUGAAACUUAAAGGAAUUGGCGGGGGAGCAC